GCAAGAGAGGGGUUCAACCUCCUGAGUAGAUUUACAGCCCACCGCCUAAGCGCUCGGCCAUCUUACCUG
rnacentral:tRNA from 1 species